GAUGGAGAACGUAGCGAAAUGCGAUACUUGGUGUGAAUUGCAGAAUCCCGUGAACCAUCGAGUCUUUGAACGCAAGUUGCGCCCGAAGCCAUCAGGUUGAGGGCACGUCUGCCUGGGCGUCACAUAUCGUUGCCCAAUGCCUAUUGCAGUGCAAUAGGAAUUUCUAGGGCGAAUGAUGGCUUCCCGUGAGCGUUGUUGCCUCGCGGUUGGUUGAAAAUCGAGUCCUUGGUAGGGUGUGCCAUGGUAGAUGGUGGUCGAGUUAGAACGAUACCGAUCAUGUGCAUGCUCCCCAAAAUAUGGCCUCUAUGACCCACACGCGUCUUUUGACGCUCAUGACGAGACCUCAGGUCAGGCGGGGCUACCCGCUGAAUUUAAGAAUAUCAAUAAGCGGAGGA
rnacentral:misc_RNA from 1 species